rnacentral:lncRNA from 1 species
AUUCCUUUCCGCUGAACUGGGCGCCCGGGCCCGCGCCGCGCCCUGCACGCCUCGCGCCCGGCGAUCGGGCCCAGGGCGGGGGAGCAGGGAGGCGGCCCCAGCCGGUCGCCGGCGCCCCCAGGCGCUGCUUCCCAGGAGCUCGGCUCCCCGGGAUGGAAGGGACUGAUACCCAGUUAAUGGGCGUGGAGCCUGAGCCCCUGAGGGUCGUCGCUAACGGGGGUCGCUCAGCAGGGCCGGCCUCCGCUGCCUGCCCGGGGUGUCUAAUCACCUCUCCGAUCCUUUGCCCGGAUCUGAGCUUCGUCAUUCACGCCCCUCCUCCCUGGCGACUUUGGGCCUGGUGACAGUCCCCCGACCCUCGCAGAGCCAGGGGCACAGUAGGCGCCUUAGCCACUGGCAGAAUUUCACCGGCGCUCUGCCCGACGCCCCCAGCCCCAGGGCCGGGCGUGGGUGGAAGUGUCUGGAAGGGUGGGUUCACCAGGGCUGGGCACGUCAGCGGCCCCGUACAGAGAAUCCGGUGCCUGGGGUCUCUGGAGGGGGUACUCAGAGUAUCCGAGGAGGAGACUCCUGGAUGCUAACAGAGCCCCCAGUUAGGAGCAGUCCGCGAGACAGUUGGUAACAGUGCUGGCCUUGCCCGGGCGCCGGAAGGUUCCGUGAGGCCCAGCAAGUCCUGACUUGGCACAGGGCCCAGCACACGGUAAGCGCUCGGUACUUGGUCACUGUUGCUUGAUUUUACCAUUUCGGAGGGGCUCAUCUACGCCUAGCAAAGCCCCCCUCCCGGUGACCCAAGGGGAGCUCCAGAAUGUUGAGCGGCUGAGCGGCCUGGCUCCUCCUCUCGACCCCAUCGAGCCAAGUGUCGAAAUCAUCCCAGACGAAGCUGCUGAGCAGAAAUUUCCAGUCUCCCUGGCAAAGCUGGGAAGAUUUUGGGUGCGGCUCAGAGACGCAGCUGGGUCGGCUCUGUGGGGCCAGGGCUGGGGAGGGACCCCAAGAUGUUCUAUGAGACCCAAGCAGCACCCCCAACUUGGGUUGGGGGCGUUGGGGGGUGGAGCCUGGCCUCCUGCUGAGCCCCAGAGCUGAUACAGCACAGGUAAAAGCCCAUUGUUCUCAGUGGUCCACAGAGGCUCAGGGCAGGAGCAAGAUCAGGGUUCGGGUGCUGGCGCCACCCCUCGUUUAGCCCCUACCUGGGAUCUGAGGGAGCACCCAUCCUUGGAAUGCAGGAUAAUAGGGUUGCUGUGAGGAUGGAAGGAGACUGUGCCCAUGAACACUUGACACAGCUCCCUGCCCUGGGGAAAGCACCCAGGAAAUGCGGGCUGUUUGUCUUAGUGAUGUUCCACUUAAUAGCACUUGCGGUGGCUCCCUGGCCCCCGAGGAGCCCACCUUGCCAGUUCUUGGCCACAAGAGUACGAGCCCCUCUGUCAGGACGGUGGGUCUCAUUGAGGCCAUCCUUAUCCUGAGCAACCUAAAGAACUCACAUGGAACUUAGCAAACAGGCAGACCCUUGCCUUGUUCUCAGGGCUGUGUGAUCCCGGGUGAGCAACUCGGCCUCUCUGAACCUGGUUCUCCUCUGCAAAACAGAGAUGAUGGCCUGGGACCCUCUCCCACUACAGGGAAGUAGCAUUGGAGGGGGAAGAGACAGGGGGAGCGUCCCAGCACUGCCCAAAAUUGGACAGGUGACUUUGGACAAGUCUGAAUGAGACUGAAUAAGACAAAACGGAGUAACAUUAGAGCUUGCUGGCUACUCUCUGCCCUGGGCCGGUGCUAGAUGUUUUACAUGCACUGUUAAUCACUGUUACUCGUGGAGGGAGAUUUUAUUAUUAACUUUCUUUUCCAGAUGAGGUAACUGAGGCUCAGAGAGGUUGAUUCACUUUCUCAAGGACACACAGCUAGGAAAUGAUAGAGUCACGAUUCAAACCAUCAUUUGUUGGCUUAGAGCCUGAAUCCCUAAAGAAAAAGCAGGCAGGGUGUAGUGGCUCACGCCUGUAAUCCCAGCAGUUUGGUAGGCUGAGGCUGGAGGCUCACUUGAGCCCAGGAGUUUGAGACCAGCCUGGACAACGUGGCGAAACCUCAUCUCUACAAAAAUACAAAAAUUAGCCCGGCCUGAUGGAGCGCGCCUGUAGUCCCAGCUACUCAGGAGGCUGAGGUGGGAGGAUCACCUGAGCCUGGGGAGGUCAAGGCUGCAGUGAACCGUGAUCGCGCCCCUGCACUCCAUACAGCCUGGACAGCAGGAUGAGACUCCGCCAAAAAAAAAAAAAAAAAAAAAAAAAGAGAGAGAGAGAGAGGAAGAAAAAAGGAAAGAAAGAAAGAAGGAAAAAGAGAAAAAGCAACUUUAAUUUUUUUAAUAUAACAUUUUAAAGUCCCUACUGUGUGCAGGGCAUCAAGGUAGGUGGCAACAAAAACGAAGAUGCCAGGACCCCAGCCUUUGAGAUGCUCAUAGCCGAGUGGGGACACAAGACUUGGAGGAGGCGCUCCUGAGAGUUAGAUGUGAAAAGCAGCACCCUAGAGGCGUCCACCAGAGCUGAGGGCACCGGGAGAGAGAGAGGUGGGUUUUGGUGUAGGGGAUGGGGAGGGAGGAGAGCUGGUGGGGGAGGCACAGAGGCCAGGGGACAGCAAAGGCUGCUCUUGAGAAAUCUCAGUGGAGGGCACUGGGCCAUUCCCAGAGGUUGGCACAGCAAAGCCAAAGGCAUGGUGGCAGGAGAGGAGGCCAUGCUCUGAGGAAGGGCCCGCAGCCCAGCGUCAGGGAGGGUAAUGGGGAGGGGAAGGAGAAUGGUGUUGCCGAGCCUGGGCCAGCCUGCAAAGGCUGGAGGAAGCUACCUUGCUUUAUAAAAAUGGGGAGCCAUCGAAGGCCUUUGAGCAGAGGUGGAUGUCAUCCUAUGGAAGUUUUACAAAGACAGCUCCAUAAGCAGAGAAAUGUCCCAGAAAUGUACACGAAACCUAGAAUGACAGCGUCAGGAUGUACUGCAUGAACUUUUACAAUGCUUCCUUUAAAAAAAAUGGUUUUGUGUUUUUUUGUCUGUGUGUGUGUGUGUGUGUGUGUGUGUGUGUGUGUGUGUGUUUGCCCUGUAUAGGUAUGACUAUUCUAACAAAAGAAGGGAGGACAUUUUCAAAAGACAGAGGGGAGCCAGGAGGCAAAGAGACACAGGCAGCAGGAGGGAGCCCAGAGCUGGCGGGCCAGGCUGCCCCUCUCACUGCAGGUCUGGCUGUUUGGGUGAUGGGCCAUCUGGCAGGUCUACAAGGAGCCCAGCAGGCAGGGCGGUGCGGCCUCUGAGAUCCCUCUCUUACCUAGAGCCUGAGCCUUGCCUGACCCAUGACAGUUUCAGGCUGUUCCCCCUCCUCCCAGCAGUCUGUCCCUACCAAACUCCACUCCAUGGGUUAGACUGUGGGACACAGACUGAUCCUUAAAUCCCAUUCUGGGCCAAAUGGGGACAGUGAUUCCAGAGGCCUCCCUACGUCCGUGAGGACACAUCACCCUAUGACAGAGCCCCAGCCACCGUGCUAGGUGCUGUACAGGCAGUGUCUCUUGAUCUGAAUAUAAACCUGAAAAAAAAAUGUUAUUUUCCCAGUUUUGCAGAUCAGGAAAUAGAGGCCCUCACAGUGAGGAGGGAGGGGGAAUUCUCACCCAGGAUGGACCCACCCAAGAGUGCGGAUGGACCACUAGGCUGUACUGCCUGGGGCCCUUUAGGAGAAAAUCCGUCCUCCCAGUCUCCCCAGGUCUCUUGCCUUUGGCCUGCUCUGGUUCCUGUUAUAGAAUGGGGGCUGCAGGUAGGCACCCCUCUGAGCUAGUCCCCUGUCCUUGGGCCGCCUCUCCUAGGCAAACUCCUAUUUAGCCCGUGAAGCCCAAUUAAAUUAUCGCUUCCUCUCCCGAGUCCUCUGGCUGCACCCCUGUCCUCUUCUCUGUGUUCCUGCGGAGCUCCCAAAGGGAGGGGAGAAAAGGCUCAGGGGACAUGGCUGGGACACAACUUCCAGCCCAGCCCUGCGUGGGCAGAGAGGAGGGAACAGUCCAUCUAUUCUAGGCUGGACGUGAGAGGGAGGACGGCCUUGGCUCAACCCGGGGUAAGGCAGGCUGACCAGCCCCUGGGGUUAUUUGGCUUGGCAGUCAGAGGAGGACAAGUUGCAGGAGAGAGAAUCAAAGAUUCAGGCUGCCUAGUGUGGCCACCGCCCCAUCAGCCCUAAGAUGAUCGCAGCCCCUUUCUGGCCACUGAAUAUGUGGGCACCCCAGACCUCUGUGGCAAGGCUGGGUGAGAGCUGUCUUUUGUGCACAGGUGCCCCUAGUCCCCCACCACUAGUGAGCAUUCACACACAGAGGUGAACAGCCCCCUUGUGGGCCUGGAGGCUCCUAGGCCAGGUAGAGAUGACCAGAGUAGGGAGCAGAGAAUCCCCAGUGCCUAGCACAGUGACUGGCACUGAAGCAUUUGUUGGAUGAAUGAAUGAGUGAUUGCCUGACCUCAGGCCCAGGGAGGAAGGCCUGGUGUGCAGGGCAGCUCCUGGGAGGCUUCAGGGAUGGGGAGAGGACAGAGAGGGACUGGGAGAGCCACAGGAAGGCAGCCUCAUCUGAUGACUGACUUGGGAGGGAAACAGAAUGUGGGCUGUGUUUCUGGGGAAACACCCCCCUGAUGCCCGGGCACCCAGGAACUUCCAGGUACCCCCGGAUCACCCCAGUGAGGACACUCCACAAUUCCCCAGGAGGCAUCACAGUGGGGCCGUUAAACCCAGGGACUUGGGAUUCAGACACUUCUGGGCUCCAGUCCACCCCUCACUGGCUGGACCAGUUGCCUCAGUUUCCCUAUGUGCACGGGGGACGGAUAGGACCACGUGCUGCACAGGUUUGCUGGGAAGGCCAUAUGAGAGGUGCCGGCUCAGCACAUCCUGUCUGCCAUUGUUACAAACAACAGCACGGGAGAGUCGGGGAGCAGAGUCGGCCAAACGCAAGACCCUGGGCUCUGGCUUCCCUGUGCUACUGACCUAUGGGGUGGCUUUGGACAAGGCCCAGCCUUUCUCCAGGCCUUAGUUUCCCCAUUUGUACAGUCAGGCCCUGCUAACUUGGACAGACUUUGGCCCUUCUCCAAGCCCCACAGAGACAUCAGAGACAUGUGCACACACGGCCCUGGGAUUGCCGACAGACACACAGGCACACAUAGGCACGUACACACAGGCAUACAGACACAGGCACAGACUCACACUCGGCCCCUCCCCACUCACACUCGCUCACACUCAUGCUCACACUCACACCAACCCCCCUCCCCCAAAUCUGCUGCGCACCAACGGUUGGUGCGAGCGGGGUUGAGAACGGGAGGAAAAAAGCCCACGACUCAGCCCGGGAAGAGGGGUGCGGUGGGGGAAGGGCGGGCGAGGGAAAUGACAGCCCGCGGUCCCCCUCGAGUCCCGGCUCAUGAAUAUUAAUACGGCGGUAAUUAAAAUGCAGGGACGCAGCAGGAUGGAUGCGGCUGCCUCCGGAGCGCGGGGGAGCGCGGAGUCUUUGCAGGCGGGUGAAGCCCGCUCCUCGCCGGCGAAAAGCGGGGCCGGGCUCCGGGGCCUGGGUCCGGGGCGGGCGGGAGUGGGGACAUUUUUCGUGGUCCCGAGCGUCCCGUCCCGGCGUCCCCGCCCCCGCCCCGCGGCCGCCUCUCCACGCCCUGCCCCGGGCCGCCCGCCAGGCCGCCGUUUCCCGGAGCCGGCCCCCUCCCGCCCUCGCGGCCGGCUGAUGUCAUCUGCACACAACUUUCCGCUUCCCGGCCCGUCUCGGGGCCCUGAGUCAUCGCCGCCCCCGGCCCCGACGCUGGCCUGCGGCGUCUGUUUGUGCAGAGCGAGGCCCCGCCGGCCGGGCUUGACGUCAGGCUGGCAGGGCCUGGAACGGCCCCGCAUCGCGGCCCCCUGGGGGCAGGACGACACCGCUGGGGGCCGAGGGCAGGGCACGCCUUCGGAAUCCGGCUUCGAAGCCGGCCGCCUGACCUGGGGCAAGUGCUUUCAACUCUCUGAACUUCGGUUCCUCAUCUGCCAGUUGGCAGACGCUCAGCAAAUCUUCCUAGACUCACGGGGCGAAUUGUACAGUUGGGUAAAUCGAGGCCCAGAGAUGGCAAAAGGACCGUCCAAGGUCGUACAGCCACCCGGAAUUACAAUUCUUUUCUGCCGGGUCACACGCUGUCAUCCACGUGUUACCUAAGAGAGCUUUCCAGCCUGUGCUAAGAAAACUGCCCCACAUCAUCUGCAGUAGGACGGGGGAGUUGGAGCCCUGGUCAGGCCACUCUGCUACUGACCACAGUUUUCUCAUCUCUAAAAAGGCGCAGUAACAAUAUAAUUACCGUAUGCAGUCCCCCAGGAUACAGGGUCAAAGGAGAGCACAACCAUCGCAGUGAGUCACUGUUGUCACUACUGGGGUCAAUUUUUUUUUUUUUCUUUUUGAGACGGAGUCUCGCUCUUUCCCCAGGCUGGAGUGCAGUGGCGCGAUCUCGGCUCACUGCAAGCUCCGCCUACCGGGUUCACGCCAUUCUCCUGCCUCAGCCUCCCGAGUAGCUGGGACUACAGGCACCCGCAGCCACACCCGGCUAAUUAUUUGUAUUUUUAGUAGGGACGGGGUUUCACCGUGUUAGCCAGAAUGGUCUCAUCUCCUGACCUCAUGAUCCACCCGUCUCGGCCUCCCAAAGUGCUGGGAUUACAGGCGUGAGCCACCGCGCCUGGGGUCACUAUUGAAGUUGGCUAAUGUCACUAUUGAAGUCAAGUGAGAGAGAGGGCCCUCUUGGAGUCAGACCACCUAGGUUCAAAUUCUGGAUCCUGCUUCCGGCUCCUUUCCUCUGUCCCCCUUCUCCCCUCGGUGCCCUCCAACCAGUGGGCCUGGGAAAGCGUGUUCAUGCUGGAAAUGCCUGCCCAGCCCUUGCCCAGUCACACAGAGCAAGUGCCCCAGAAAUGUCCUGAACCUCAGUUUACUGAGGGGAAACUAAGAACCUUCUGGCUACAGCUCUUGGGCUGAGCAGGGAUUAGGCUCGGGUCUGCGAUCCCAGGCCCUGCGGCCUCCCAGAGGCUUGGUUGAGAGCUCUGGCUCUCACUCCCCCACCUCCACCCAGCACCUGCCCCGGUCCAGGCUCACCCCCUACCCCUCCACCUGGUCAGUGGUGGCUCGGCCUCCUCUCAGCCCCUCCACCCCUCCUGGCUGUACACACCCUCAAGCUAACGGAAUUCAAACUGGUGGAGGAAGGCCUGCCCUGUCCCUCCCAGCCCCUGCCUCUCCCUCCCUACUCCCAGCCUCACUGGACCACUUUCAAGUCCUCCAGUGCUCCAGGCUCCAUCUUCAUGCCUCCAGGCCUUUGCACGUGCUGGUCCCUCUCCCAUUCUCCUGGUUAACUCCUCCACCUCCAUCCGAGCUAGGAUCUUCCCCUGGAGAGUGUCCCGGUUAGCACUACCCCACAACACACACACACACCGACAUACACGCCCCACAUCACAGGGACCACAUCCCACACAGGCACAGACACACUGCAUGACGCAGAUCACAGGCACAAAGGUGCAUGCGUGCACACAUACACACUCCCACUCCAUAUGCCAAUACACUUAUCCCCCUACUCCCACAUCACACAGACGGUUCCACACACUCCUCACACGCUCUGGCCACACAGUAAACACACACAGACCACAGAGCUCAUGUCUGGGCUGCCCUGGUGCCCUCCUCUGGGCUCGUGCCCCCAGCCUCAGCAUUUACCCCCCAUUGAGGGCAGGGACCCACCCAGCUCCGUUUUCCUCCAUUUCAGCUCAGGGCCCUGCACCAAGUCUCUCCCAGUUGUUGCUUGGACCCGGACUCCUCCCACAGUCACCACUGUCACAGUCCCACCUCCUUCAAGGUCUCAAACACCCCUCCCCUGUUUCUGGCAGGAGCCGUCCUCACUCCCUCUAUUGCCUCUCCAGACCCAGACUUCACCCUCAGGUCACCCUCACCUGGACUUUGGGGUGCCCCACACCCCGCCCCAGGCCCUGGCCUCUGGAAUAUUUGGAAACUUGAACUGGGCCAGAGGCUUAAGCUCACAUCUGUCUGGAGCCUCAACUUUCUCCUCUGUAAAAUGGGCUAACACUGAAAGAACCUUGCAGAAUCUCAGCAACGUCACAGAGGACAUUGUUAGCACAGCCAGCGGGCUCCUGCUGGGCUGAGUUUGUGGGUAAUCCAAGCCUCGGCAGGUACAGUUCCUCCCUCAGGUGAGUGUUCCACCCCCAAGUGAGCAUCCUGCUGCCCUUCCUGCAAAUCAGGCCCCUGGGACACUUAGUGCUGAGCCUUGGGGGUGGGGUAUUUGAUCGGGGUUCCUGACAAGUGGCUGGGUUGUCUGUUCCCUCUCUUCAGAGGGAGCCUCCAUGGGUGGCCUGGGCUCACAUCGGCUCCUCCAGUCCAGCAGAGCACCCCCCCCUGGCUGCCCAGCUUGUUGAGAGAACUUGCUGAGCAGGACAGUGAGCCCUUCCUGGUGGGGAACCGGAAUCAGGAGAAGACAGAGGGGAGGUGGCAGGCCCCAGGAUGGAGGGAGGGCAGCUGAGCUGCCUGCCCUCAUCCUCCCUGCCCUUCAGGUAUUAGGGCCCUUCCCAUGGCCCAGUAGGAACCCAGCGGCUCACCUGAGCCCGGACUAAGGAUGGGGCAUUUUACCCCAUAUGCAGAGAUGAGAAACAGAGGCCCAAGGAGGGAAGGGACUGAACACAGGGUGGAACAGCCCUGGGCUGCGCCUGUGUUUCCAUCCGCCUUCCUCCUGCCUGUGCUCGAGUCACGUGCUGGUGUGCAGGGAACAGGAAGACAGCCGCUGCCCUCACAGGCUCAGGGUCUAGCAGAGUCCACAGUGACCACAGGCGAAUAAACAAAGGCAGUGAGACAGAGGUGGGCAAGGAGAGGUGCUGGGAUGGGGAGCAAGGGGGUACCCAUGCUCAUGGGUAUGAACACAUGGACCCAUAUACCCAUAUGUAUGUCCCAGAGUUUCUUCCAGAACUUUUUUUUUUUUCCCAAGACAGAGUCUUGUUCUGUAGCCCAAGCUGGAGUGCAGUGGCACGAUCUCGGCUCAUUGCAACCUCCACCUCCUGGGUUCAAGCGAUUCUCCUGCCUAAGCCUCCCGAGUAGCUGGGAUUACAGACGCCCUCCACCAUGCCCGGCUAAUUUUUGUAUUUUUAGUAGAGACAGGGUUUCACCAUGUUGGCCAGGCUGGUGUCGAACUCCCGACCUCAGGUGAUCCGCCCGCCUCGGCCUCCCACAGUGCUGAGAUUACAGGGGUGAGCCACUGCACCUGACCCCUUCUAGAACUUCUCUAUCAGUUCACUCUCACAUCUACACUGAACACCUUUGCCCAAGGCUGGGGGCAGAGUGGUUAAAAGCCAAAUCUAGACUCCUUCUUGCUGUGUGACCUCGGCCAGGUCACUGUCCCCCACUGUGCCUCCCCAUCAUGUCCUCCUCUAAAAAAUGGAUGCAUAGCCCUCAGGGCUGUUGUUGAAGGGUCCCUGAGAUGACUGUGGAGCUCUUGGUGUGGGGACCCAAGCUCAACCCUGCCCCAAGUACUGUCCCCCAGCCCAACUGCAGUACUUGGCCCCCCUCAACUUCUAGCCUCCAGUCUCUGCCUGAACCCCAGCACCUGGCAGUUCAGCUCAGUUCAUUUACGUAGCCCAGCCUGGGUUCCUGUGAGAUGAAGGCCGGUCACAAUGACAAGACUGCUGGGGACGAUUGGGUCCCUGGCCAGGUACUCAGGUCUACAGCCUAACACACGGUGAGCUGUUUCCCAGCCACCCAACUCUUGGGCAUCCCUGCAGGACCUCCACGGGGAGUCCUUGGCUCCCUGAAGGAUGGAUCAUCAGAGGAGCUGCCAGGCUGCCAGAGCUGGAAGGGACCUCAGGGAUCACCACUGUGGCCAACCCUCCACUGCACACACAGAAAAGCUGCAGCUCAGAGCUGGGCGUGGUGGCUCACACCUGUAAUCCCAGCACUUUGGGAGGCCAAGGCAGGCAGAUCACCUGAGGUUGGGAGUUCGAGACCAGCCUGGCCAACAUGGAGAAACCUUGUCUCUGCUAAAAAAUACAAAAUUAGCCAGGCGUGUUGGUGCAUGCCUGUAAUCCCAGCUACUCAGGAGGCUGAGGCAGGAGAAUCGCUUGAACCCGGGAGGCAGAGGUUGCGGUGAGCCGAGAUCACACUAUUGCACUCCAGCCUUGGCAAAAAGAGCGAAACUCCAUCCCAAAAAAAAAAAAAAAACAAAGCUGCAGCUCAGAGAAGUGGAGACACUGGCCCAGGGACCCACAGCAAGGCCUUGGCCCAGCUGGGGCUAGAUGGCAAGAGGUGGUUCAGCAUUGGAGCUCCAUUGCCUGGGUUCAAAUCGGGGUCUGUCACUGGCCAGCUGUGAGCCUAAGUCUCUGAACUUCUCUGUGCCUUAGUGUCCUCAUUCUGUAGAGUGGAGAUAGUAAUCAUUCCUAUUUCAAAGAUUGUUGUGAGAAAUAAGUGAACUAAUACAUGUCAUAUGCUUAAAAGCAGGGCCCAGGACACAGUGAGCAUACAAUAGACAUUAGCUGCUGUGGUGUCUUGAUUUCAAGCCCAGUGCAGAUGCAUCUGACUUACGAAACUUCAGUGACACCUGCUCUGUGCCAGACACUGAAGAUGGAGCAGUGAACAGCACUGACCCAGCCUGUCCUCCUGUUGCCUGCAGGCCAGACGGAGUCUCACUCUGUCACCAGGCUGGAGUACAGUGGUCCAAGAUCGCGCCACUACACUCCAGUCCGGGCGACAGAGCAAGAGUCCAUUCCCCCACCACCAAAAAAAAAAAAAAAAGAAAGAAAGAUGAUGUGAUACAUAUCACAUAUUUCCUAACACCCCCAACCAAACACAUUUAUGCAUAUGCAUAAAGCAGACGAGGAAAGAUUCUAAAUAGGCUCUGAAUCUCAGUUUUCUCAUCUCUACAAUGGGGCAGUGAUGGCAUGCACCUCCCAGGGCUGUUCUGAGAAUCUGAUGCCUCCCAUUGCACUGGUGAGCCUGGCACAGGCACAGGUCCCACCCCAGGCCCUUUGAACUGGCUGUUCCUUUGGCCUGGAACAUUCCUCCCCAGAUACCUCCUGAGAGGGCUCCCUCACUUCCUUCAAGGCACUGCUCAAAUGCUACCUCUUCACAGAGGCUUUCCCUGACCACCCCGUCUCUUUCCUCUUCCUGCAUAGCCUCUGUCACCUGACAUUUUAUGUCAUAAAUUACUCAUUUAUUAAUUUCCUGCUCUCCCACAGUGGCACCCGAGCUCUGUGAGGGCAAGACUUUGUUCGGUUGUGGGCUAUGCCCCCAACCCCUCGGACAGUGCCUGCACAGGUGGACAUUUUUGUUGGAUGAAGGAUUUUCUGUUAAAUGUGUCUGGCACACACAGAAAAACAAAGCCCAGCAGGUACGAUGGUGAUUAUUAUUGUUACUGGUGGCGCUCUAUUAUUGUUAUUAGUGUCUGUUGAAAAAGACCCUGAGCUAUACCAGCCCUUGGUUCUCCAGCCUGUGAAAUGGGCAUCCUGGGCACUGAGGCACUAGCCUUGGGAAGCUGAUAGGGGGUCCCUGCAGGAGAGACAAAGAACACUGCCCACCCCCCCGGGGGAGCCUGCGCCCCUCACCGGAAAGAGAAGCAGGGGGGAGCAGAGGGAGCUUGCAGCCCCACACGCAGGGCUGCCAGAAGGCCAUACAUAAUUCAUUGCCAAAUGGGGCUGCGGGCGGCUCUCCGCGGCGUGCGCUGGGGGCUCACUCUGCGCCUGGCACUUCGCUGACUGCGCCUCACACGUUGCCUCAUUGCAUCUUCAUGGAUUUGCAGGGUGUGACCCUUCCCCCUGUUUUACCCAGGGGGAUCCUGAGGCUCAGAGGAUGGGGCCACCGUGCUAGUCACACAGCCUCUCUGUGGCCAAGCUGGGCCUCGGGCCAGCAGAUUCGGCCCCCAGCGGCCCCCAUUCACUGCCUCUCUGCUGAGGGAAAAGACGGGCCUGGGGAGCGGGUGGGAGGCACAAAGGAGACCCCGCUCUGAGACAGGCUGCAGAAGAGGGAGCUGGGUCUCAGCAGGGCUGGGGAAGGCUCUGGCCCCAGCCCUCCGCCCAACCCCCUGCCCUCCUCUCCUGGAGGAGAUGCUCCCCAAAUUAGCCAUCAUGAGCGCUGGCUCUGGGGGUUGGGCGUUGGGGAGCAGUUUGCUCAGCUGUAAAAUGGGAAUAACAGAAGCCGUCCCUGGGACUAUGAGAUCAAGGUGCUCAAGAAAAGUGGUGUCUGCUGAGGGGAAAAGCCAGUCCCAAAAGGUUGCAUACUCUCAUUCUGUUUAUUUGUUUUUGUUUUUGAGACAGGGUCUCGCCCUGUCACCCAGGCUGGAGUACAGUGGCGCAAUAUGGGCUCACUGCAACCUCCACCUCCUGGGCUCAAGUGAUCCUCCCAUCUCAGACCCUCAAGGAGCUGGGGCUACAGGCACGUGCCACCGUGUCCGGCUAAUUUUUGUAUUUUUUGUAGAGACAGGGUUUCACCAUGUUGCCCAGGCUGGUCUCAAACUCCUGAGCUCAGGUGAUCCGCCUGCCUUGGCCUGCGAUAAAAUUGCACAGAAGUAAAUACACACACGUGAGGAUACGGAAAACCGGGGAAACCUGAGCAAGAGCAGUCAGACCCCGGCUGUGAUGGCGCCCAGUAGUUCUGCGAGAUGUUACCAUUGGGGAAACUGAGUGAAGGCGGGUACCUGGGAUCCCUCUGUUUUCUUUUUUGUUGUUGUUGUUAUUUUGAGAUGAAGUUUCCCUCUUGUUGCCCAGGCUGGGUGAUCCACCUGCCUCGGCCUCCCAAAGUGCUGGGAUUACACGCGUGAGCCACUGUGCCCAGCCUCUCUGUUUUAUUUCUUCUUUUUUUUUUUUUUUUUUUGGAGACGCUCUGUCGCCCAGGCUGGAGUGCAGUGGCACGAUAUUGGCUCACUGCAAGCUCCGCCUCCUGGGUUCACACCAUUCUCCUGCCUCAGCCUCCCGAGUAGCUGGGACUACAGGCGCCCGCCACCUCGCCCGUCUAAUUUUUUGUAUUUUUAGUAGAGGCGGGGCUUCACCGUGUUAGCCAGGAUGGUCUCAAUCUCCUGACCUCGUCAUCCGCCCGUCUCGGCCUCCCAUAGUGCUGGGAUUACAGGCAUGAGCCACCACGCCCGGCUGUUUUAUUUCUUAUAACUGUACAGGAAUCUACAAUGAUUGUAACAAAAAUUUCAAUUAAGGCCACUCUAGGCACAUGGCCUGUGGGGUAGCCCUGCUCAACAAGAAGCCGUCAAAAAAAUGUUUUUUAAUUAAAAAAUUUCUUCAAUUAAAAAGCGUUAUCUUCCUCUGCCCGGAAAGGGUUAAGUGAGUCACUGCAGUUAGCUCCCCUUCCCCCACAACCACCUAGACCAGGCCAGGGACCAGCGGGCAAUUGCCUGGCAGCUGGAGUUUUCCUCCACUGUGGACUGUACUUCUUGCGUCACUCUGAAUGUCUCCAGUCUUUAUUCCAGAAUGUUCUGGUCCUCUCCCACUUUUCCAAGGACAGGAAUUCCCUAGUGGGGCUCCAGAAGAGGCUCUGGAGGAGAACAAGAAAGGCCCUUGUCAUCCAUUGGCCUCAGGCUGGGAAAUCUCGGUUCCACUCCCAGCCCAGCCUCAAUAUUAGGUUGUCAGUCUGGAGUCUGAGAGCCAUGCCCCCACCCCCUUAGUCCUUCACCUCCAGGAGAGUUGGGGAUACUGGAAAGAAUGUUGAGUGUCAGAGCCCCUCUCAGUGGCUCACGCCUGAAAUCCCAGCCCUUUGGGAGGCUGAGGCAGGUGGAUUGCUUGAGGCCAAGAGUUCAAGACCAGCCUGGCCAACGCGACGAAACCCUGACUCUACUAAAAAUACAAAAAUUAGCUGGGCGUGGUGGCACACACCUGUAAUCCCAGCAGCUCGGGAGGCUGAGGCAGGAGAAUUGUUUGAACCUGAGAGGUGGAGGUUGCAGUGAGCUGAGAUCACAACACUGCACUCAAAAAGUAGUUAAUUAAUUUAGUUUAAUUAAAAAAGAAUAUUGAGUGUCAGGCAAUCUGGGUAGAACCCAUUGUGUUUCUACAGGAUAGAAUCUGCUGUGUUCUCUAGCGGAACUUCCGGAUCACCUUCACCGUAUGACUCUAGACAAUCCCUGUCCACUCUUCAGUUUUAGAUGCCCCAUUCAAAGAAUGAAAGAAUUGUCCUAGAUGAUCCUUUAGGGUCUUCCAGGCUGAUGACAAGGGGGACCUGGCCCCUCUGCUGCUGGCCAAAGAGGACUUUACUUCCCAUUCCGUGUGGUUGAACAAGAAUUGCUGGGCUCCAGUCCUGCCUUUGGCCCUUCCCUACAUGUGACCUUGGGCCCUCUUUGCCUUUCAGAAUCAAUACAGUGAGAGAGUUAACACAAGCUCAGGUUAGUAAGUCAUUCAACAAACAUUUACUGAGCGCUUAUCAAAUACUGCAUGCUGGAGUGGACACUGGAGAAAAAGGUGAGGAGAAGGCCGGGCGCAGUGGCUCGUGACUGUAAUUCCAGCACUUUGAGGGGCAGAGGCAGGUGGAUUACCUGAGGUCAGGAGUUUGAGACCAGCCUGGCCAACAUGGCAAAACCCCGUCUCUACUAAAAAUACAAAUAUUAGCCAGGCAUGGUGGUGCAUAUCUGUAGUCCCAGCUACUCAGGAGGCUGAGCAGGAGAAUCACUUGAACUCAGGAGGUGGAGCGUGCAGUGGGCCGAGAUUGCACCUCUGCACUCCAGCCUGGGCAACAUAGUGAGACUCUGUCUCAAAUAAAUAAAUAAAGUGAGGAGAAAAAAAUACCAUCUCUGUCUUCACAGAACUUAUAGUUUGAGAGGGGAGAAUCCCACAAGUAAAUUAUAAAUCUCAGCUGAGAUUAUGCAAAGAAGCAAAGGCCGGACGUGGUGGCUCACGCCUGUAAUCCCAGCACUUUGGGAGGCCGAGACGGGCGGAUCAUGAGGUCAGGAGAUUGAGACCAUCCUGGCUAACACGGUGAAACCCUGUCUCUACUAAAAAUACAAAAAAAUUAGCUGGGCGUGGUGGCGGGCGUCUGUAGUUCCAGCUACUCGGGAGGCUGAGGCAGGAGGAUGGCGUGAACCCAGGAGCACAGGUUGCAGUGAGCCGAGAUGGCGCCACUGCACUCCAGCCUGGGCGACAGAGCGAGACUCUGUCUCAAAAAAAAAAAAAAAAAAGGAAGCAAAGUGCCCAGCUGGGAUGGUGGUUUCAGAGGCCACAGUGGGAGCUUCCCAGAGAAGGGAUGAUUGAGCUAAGUCUAAGCAAAAGGGGUGGUCAGGGCAGCAGCUGCUCCAAAACAGGGGCUGGGGGCUUAUGUGGAGAGAGAAGACAUGGAGAGACCAUGCCCAGAAGGAGGCGGCGGCUUCAGUGAACAGUGCAGGGGAGCAGGUCCGAGGAGGCCGCCUACCAGGGGAAGGAGUCUCAUCUCCAUCCUAGACAAAAAAAGGAUCUUUUGAGAUGCAUUAAGCAGGGGAGUCACAGAUUGGAUUUGUGUUUUGAGAAUCUCCUGCUUACCUAGAGAAGAAGGGCAUCUCCUGGGCCCUCACUGUUGCCUUAAAUGAUUUUUAUUGUGUAUUACUUAAACAUGUGCAAGCAUAAAAUGAGAUAUAAACUCCUUGUAGCUCUUAUACAAGCAUCAGACCAAGACAAAUUGACCCAUCACGUACAAAAUCGAUUCAAAUCAGAUUAAUUUUAUGUGACAUGUUAUUAUGCCUUUUGUCUGAAACCCUGCCACCACCCACAGUGCAAUUAUGGCCCAACCACUGUGGUGUUCUGAAUUUGUGGGACAGAGAAUAUUGGCCUUUUAAACACGUGCAUGCAUGCAUUUGCGUGUGCGCACACACACACAUCCCAAAUGAUUUUUUCCCACUAUAUAUGAAGAACUCCUACAAACCAAAAAGAAAAAGGCAGACAAUUCAAGAGAAAAAUGGGGGAGGGCUUGCAUUAAAGUACUUCAUAACAAGAGUACUUAGGAGGCCAACAAAUACACGAAAAGCUGCUAGCUUCAUGACUCAUGGGGGUGGCUUGGUCAGUUCAGGAUACUGUAACAAAAUACCUUAGACUGGGAAAUUUAUAAACAACGGAAUUUAUUGCUCACAGUUCUGGAGGCUGGGAAGUCCAAGAUCAAGGCAGCAGUAGAUCCGGUGCCUGAGCCCGUUCCCUGCUUCAAACAUGGCACCUUCUUGCUGUAUCCUCACAUGGUGGAAGGGGGAAGACAGUUCUCUGGGGCCUCUUUUAUAAGGGCAGUUAUCCAAUUCACAAGGAUAGAGCCCUCAUGACCUAAUCACCUUUCAAAGAUCCCCAUCUUCUAACACCUUCUAACACCAUCACCUUGGUGAUUAGGUCUUUUUGUUGUUGUUGUUGUUGAGAUGGACUCUCACUCUGUUGCCUAGGCUGGAGUGCAGUGGCGUAAUCUUGGUUCACUGCAACCUCUGCCUCCCGGGCUGAAGUGAUUAUCCUGUCUCAGCCUCCCAAGUGGCUGGGAUUACAGGCGUGUGCCACCAUGCCCGGCUAAUUUUCAUAUUUUUAGUAGAGACAGGGUUUCACCAUGUUGGUCAGGCUGGUCUCGAACUCCUGACCUCAUGAUCCGCCCACUUCGUCCUCCCAAAAUGCUGGGAUUACAGGCAUGAGCCACUGCACCCAGCCGAUUAAGUCUUAACGUAUGAGUUUUUGGGAGAAACUCAAACAUUCGGACAAUAGCAAGGAGAAUACAAAACCACAGUGAGCUACCGCUUCAGACACCAGAGAAGUUUAAGUGAAAAAGACUGGCAAUACCAAGUGCUGAUGAGGAUAUGGAGCAACCAGAACUCUCAGACAUUGCUGAUGGGAAUCUAAAUUAGUAUAACCACCACGAAAGCAUCCGUAAGGUUUAAUUGUGUUGAACACACCCUGCCCUCUGACCAAGCAUUUCCACUCCUGGGCAUACAGGCAAAAGAAAUGCAUCCACGUGUUCAUCAAAAGAUGUAACCUGUGCCAGGUGAGGUGGUUCAUGCCUGUAAUCCCAGCACAUCGGGAGGCCAAGGAGGGAGGAUUGCUUGAGCCCAGAAGUUCGAGAGCAGCCUAGGCAACAAGGCAAAACCUCGUCUCUACUAAAAAGUAGCCAGGCAUGAUGGUAUAUGCCUGUAGUCCCAGCUACUCAGGAGGCCAAGGCAUGCAGAUUGAUUGAACCCGGAAGGUGGAGGCUACAGUGAAUUGUGAUCUCGCCACUGCACUCCAGCCUGGGUGACAGAGCAAGAUCUUGUCUCAAUUAAAAAAAAAGGAAGAAAGAAAGACAUAACCUGGAAUAUUCACACCAACACUAUUCAGGAUAGCCCUAAACUGGAAAGAAUCUGAAUAUCCUCCGGCUUUAGAACAGAGAGAAAUUAUAGACUAUUCAUUCAUACAGGGGAUGAUUGAUCAGCUUUAAGAAUAAACAAACCGUACACAACAAUAUAGAUGAAUCUACAACCUUAAUGUGCAAAAUAGUUCACAUAUAUAAAGGACAAAAACAGGCAAAACUACUCCAUGGUGUUAGAAAUAGGGGUAGAGGUUACCCUCAUGCGGCAGGAGGGUUAGUGAUAGGGGAUUUGGAAGAGGAGGAGCCCAAUGGACUGAACAGCUGAGCUGGAAACAGCAAUUUGUUCCUUAAAGUUCUGAACCCAACUGUUAUCCAGCAUGGAGUCUGUCUGGAGAGGCCAGAUGUGGGGCCUCUCACAGGGGAAUGAGAAGUGCCUCUCAGGGUCCCACCCAUGAUCCCCCUUUCCUUGCCCACACAACCACCAACUGGCAAGUAGUAACCCAGGACCUGUAGCCCCCACUGGCUUGACACAGAGCAUAAUGCAAGCUUUUCCUGCUCCAGGUCCUGGACACCACUUUGCCCUUUGCCCCACACGUACAGCCCCCUGACCAAAAGCUGGGUACUCUGGCUUGACUAGAGGGAGCUAGACUCCAGGAAUAAGUAAGGAGCUGGGCUUCCACGCUAGAGAACAAGAGCUUCUCUGGGGAAAGGGGCUUCCCAUGAAGCCCUGGGGCACUGGGAGAUUAAUGGGCAGACCUCUGGCCUCAGCUUCCAGGGAAGGGGAGGGUGUGGGCCAACAUGCGGUGGCUACACUGACCACAAGCCGAUGACCCCAGCCAGCCUCAGGAUGUCUCAGCUCUAGGCAUGGUUUUUCGUUUUGUUUUGUCGUGUUUUGUUUUUGAGAUGGAACCUCGCUCUGUCGCCUAGGCUGGAGUGAAGUGGCACCAUCUCGUCUCCCUGCAACCUCCACCUCCUGGGUUCAAGCGAUUCUCCUGCCUCAGCCUCCUGAGUAGCUGAGAUUACAUGUGCGUGCCACCUUGCCCAGCUAAUUUUUGUAUUUUUAGUAGAGAUAGGGUUUCAUCAUGUUAGCUAGGCUGGUCUCAAACUCCUGACCUCAAGUGAUCUGCCUGCCUCAGCCUCCCAAAGUGCAAGGAUUACAGGCAUGAGCCACCAUGCCCGGCAUAGGCAUGGUUUUGACAAUCUGUCUCUUUGUGCCCUGGCUCCUUCUCCAACUCCUCUUUGGAGGAGGCACAGGAGGAGGGGUCAUUUCACUGUUCCUGAAAAGUAGACAUAUAACCUACAUGCAACUGCCAGGUGAUAAGGGCCCCAUCUGUCUGGCAUGACGUUGGAGGUCCACAAAGGCUGAUUAGAUGAAUGCUCAGCUCUGGGGCCUCCCCACAGAGCUCACAGACAGGCGUGAAGGAAAGCAGGACUCUUAUUAGAAUAUGUUCAGAGUUUUCACUGAAGAAGCCUCCUGUGUGGGCCAGGCACUGUGCUCAGUGCUUUGAUUCACAGUCUCAUUUAAUUCUCACCAUUUACAGACAAGAAUUCAGCUAAGAUCCUUUUCAAUCAAGUCUGGCAAUAUCUGCCUUUCAAUGGCAGUGCCUAGUCCUUUCAUAUGUAAUAUACUUAUCAUUAUGGGUGGGUUUAAGUUUUAUCAUCUUGCUAUUUGUUAUCUAUUUGUCCCCCCUCUUUUGUUCCUCCUUUACUGCCUUCUAUUUGGUUGAGACUUAAUAAAAUAUUUUAUUCCAUCUUCUCUACUUACUUUUUAGCUAUGCCUCCUUAUAUUUUUGGUUGCUGGAGUGUUACAAUAUGCAUUCUUCAAUAUCCAGUCUACUUUCCAAUAAUAUUACACCACUUCAUGUAUAACGUAAGAACGUUACAAAAAUAUAAUGCCAGGGCUGGGCGCAGUGGCUCACGCCUGUAAUCCCAGCACUUUGGGAGGUCGAGGCGGGCAGCUCACCUGAGGUCAGGAGUUCGAGACCAGCCUGACCAACAUGGAGGAACCCCAUCUCUACUAAAAAUACAAAAUUAGCCGGGCAUGGUGGCUCAUGCCUGUAAUCCCAGCUACUCAGGAGGCUGAGGCAGGAGAGUUGCUUGAACCGGGGAGGUGGAAGUUGCAAUGAGCCAAGAUUGCGCCGUUGCAC